UGGCCAGCUAAUAAAUCUGCUUACCUAAAUAUGUUUCUGUGGAAAUUAAGAAAAAGCUGGCAGCCAGCCUCACGCCUGUAAUCAUAGCU
rnacentral:snoRNA from 1 species